rnacentral:rRNA from 1 species
UACAGAGACCUCAAGCGUUAUCCGGAAUUAUUGGGCGUAAAGCGUUCCGAUCGGUGGUUUUAUAAGCCAGAGGUUAAAUCUCCAAGCUCAACUUGGAAUACGCCUUUGGAACUGUAAGACUCGAGGGGCAAAGAAGAAGCUGGAACCAGCGGUGUAGUAGUGAAAUGCGUUGAUAUCGCUGGGAACACCAAUAGCGAAGGCAGGCUUCUAGGUGCCACCUGACACUGCUAGGACGAAAGCGUGGGGAGCGAAUGGGAUUAGAAACCCUGGUAGU